rnacentral:misc_RNA from 1 species
GAUGAAGAACGCAGUGAAAUGCGAUAAGUAAUGCGAAUUGCAGAAUUCAGUGAGUCAUCGAAUCUUUGAACGCACAUUGCGCCCUGUGGUAUUCCGCAGGGCAUGCCUGUUCGAGCGUCAUUUCAACCCUCAAGCUCCGCUUGGUGUUGGGCCCUGCCCCCGCGGCCGGCCCCAAAGACAGUGGCGGCGCCGCUCGGCCCUAAGCGUAGUACAUCUCUCGCUCUAGGACCCGGCGGUGGCCUGCCAGAACCCCCAACUCAUGUGGUUGACCUCGGAUCAGGUAGGGAUACCCGCUGAACUUAAGCAUAUCAAUAAGCGGAGGA